rnacentral:tRNA from 1 species
GCGCCCAUAGCUCAGCUGGAUGGAGUGGCUGACUUCGAAUCAGUAGGUCGGGGGUUCGAGUCCUCCUGGGCGCACCA